AUUGAACGCUGGCGGCAUGCCUUACACAUGCAAGUCGAACGGUAACGCGGGGCAACCUGGCGACGAGUGGCGAACGGGUGAGUAAAGCAUCGGAACGUGCCCAGUAGUGGGGGAUAGCCCGGCGAAAGCCGGAUUAAUACCGCAUACGACCUAUGGGUGAAAGGGGGGGAUCGCAAGACCUCUCGCUAUUGGAGCGGCCGAUGUCAGAUUAGGUAGUGGGUGGGGUAAAGGCCUACUAAGCCGACGAUCUGUAGCUGGUCUGAGAGGACGACCAGCCACACUGGGACUGAGACACGGCCCAGACUCCUACGGGAGGCAGCAGUGGGGAAUUUUGGACAAUGGGCGCAAGCCUGAUCCAGCCAUGCCGCGUGCGGGAAGAAGGCCUUCGGGUUGUAAACCGCUUUUGUCAGGGAAGAAAUCCUUUGGGUUAAUACCUCGGGGGGAUGACGGUACCUGAAGAAUAAGCACCGGCUAACUACGUGCCAGCAGCCGCCGUAACAC
rnacentral:rRNA from 1 species